AUUGAACGCUGGCGGCAUGCCUUACACAUGCAAGUCGAACGGCAGCGGACCUUCGGGUGCCGGCGAGUGGCGAACGGGUGAGUAAUAUAUCGGAACGUACCUUUCAGUGGGGGAUAACGUAGCGAAAGUUACGCUAAUACCGCAUAUUCUGUGAGCAGGAAAGCAGGGGAUCGCAAGACCUUGCGCUGAUUGAGCGGCCGAUAUCAGAUUAGCUAGUUGGUGAGGUAAAGGCUCACCAAGGCGACGAUCUGUAGCGGGUCUGAGAGGAUGAUCCGCCACACUGGAACUGAGACACGGUCCAGACUCCUACGGGAGGCAGCAGUGGGGAAUUUUGGACAAUGGGCGCAAGCCUGAUCCAGCCAUGCCGCGUGAGUGAAGAAGGCCUUGGUUGUAAGACUCUUUCGGUCCGGGAAGAAAUACGCACAGGUUAAUACCCUCGUGUGGAUGACGGUA
rnacentral:rRNA from 1 species